UACGGAGGGUGCAAGCGUCAUCCGGAUUCACUGGGUUUAAAGGGAGCGUAGGUGGGUUGGUAAGUCAGUGGUGAAAUCUCCGAGCUUAUCUUGGAAACUGCCAUUGAUACUAUCAGUCUUGAAUAUUGUGGAGGUCAGCGGAAUAUGUCAUGUAGCGGUGAAAUGCUUAGAUAUGACAUAGAACACCAAUUGCGAAGGCAGCUGGCUACGCAUAUAUUGACACCGAGGCUCGAAAGCGUGGGGAUCAAACAGG
rnacentral:rRNA from 1 species